UGGAGAGAGCGAUAUUGGGGAGGCUCAAUCCGAUGAAUGGGAUUUAAUUACGCCGUCCGUCCGUCGUAAUAAACCUAACAUAUCUGAUUGAGCCGCGCCAAUAUCACUUCCUUCAAC
rfam:Triticum urartu cultivar G1812 contig879911, whole genome shotgun sequence.